CUGGUAUGCACUGGUGCUACUGAUUUCUCCCUUCUGAAGAACUAUCAUGCCAUUAAUUUGGUGUGGUAGGGAAUCAGGACUGUUACUUUGAAAAAAUUAGAGUGUUUAAAGCAGGCUCACGCUUGAAUACAUUAGCAUGGAAUAAUGAAAUAGGACGUUGAUCUUAUUUUGUUGGUUUCUAGGAUUGACGUAAUGAUUAAUAGGGAUAGUUGGGGGCAUUAGUAUUCAAUUGUCAGAGGUGAAAUUCUUGGAUUUAUUGAAGACUAACUACUGCGAAAGCAUUUGCCAAGGAUGUUUUCAUUAAUCAAGAACGAAAGUUAGGGGAUCGAAGACGAUCAGAUACCGUCGUAGUCUUAACCAUAAACUAUGCCGACUAGGGAUCGGAUGAUGUUAAUUUUUUAAUGACUCAUUCGGCGCCUUACG
rnacentral:rRNA from 1 species